rnacentral:rRNA from 1 species
CUGGCGGCGUGCCUAACACAUGCAAGUCGAGCGGGGACAUUGCGACGGAUUUGAAGACUUCGGUUGAAUUUGAAGAUGUAAUGUUCUAGCGGCGGACGGGUGAGUAACGCGUGAGCAACCUGUCCCUUACAGGGGGAUAACACAGCGAAAGUUGUACUAAUACCGCAUAAGACCACAGGGUGACAUCACUUAGGGGUCAAAGGAGUAAUCCGGUAAGGGGUGGGCUCGCGUCCGAUUAGAUAGUUGGUGAGGUAACGGCCCACCAAGUCGACGAUCGGUAGCCGACCUGAGAGGGUGAUCGGCCACAUUGGGACUGAGACACGGCCCAAACUCCUACGGGAGGCAGCAGUGGGGAAUAUUGGGCAAAUGGGGGAAACCCUGACCCAGCAACGCCGCGUGAGGGAAGAAGGUUUUCGGAUCGUAAACCUCUGUCCUUGGUGAAGAGAAAGAGACGGUAGCCAAGGAGGAAGCCCCGGCUAACUACGUGCCAGCCGCCGC